rnacentral:lncRNA from 1 species
ACUGCAAAGUGUUUGCAGAGCAAGACACUUUUAUGGAACUUAGAUCUAAUCACAGCGAAGGGAAACCAACUCCCCAAAGGUUCCCAAGGAAAUCUCCUAUCCAUGUUCCCCUCUAGAUGCCAAACGUUGACUCCUUCAAAGCUCCUGUUUCUCUGAUCUCUGGCGAUGCAAAAACUCCCUUCUGUUAAAGGAUACAUUCCCUGGGGAACUCGGAACAUCUGGGUUCUUCCACGGGAGUAAUGUUUUCAGUAUCUCUCCCAAUUAAGGAAGCAUCGGAGCUAUCCACAGCUGGGGUCUGUAAUUGGAAGGAGCUCAGAGAACUGGGCGAAAGGUCAGAAUAAGCUUCAUCCUGGUCAAAGUUCAUUUCUGAAUCAGGUUCAGAACCCAAAGGUGGCUGGGGUGUAACACCGGGAUUUUUUGGCAAUUGUAGGCCAAAACACCUCACGACCCAGAGGUUGAGAACCAUUGACUUACAUGGUUCUCAAUGGUCAGUGGGUCUUUCCGAGUUGAGACUUAAAACUGUAUAUAAAGCAAUGUUAACCUAAUAAAUCUUUUUAAUCUUCUACAGAUCUGAUUCUUCACACUGGAGAUACUAGCAACCAACUCCAGCAUCAUCAGCCUUGAAAGUACAUGAAAGAAAGAAUAAAAGGCAUUAAGAAAUGUGUGAGAGGAAACGUAGAAAUGUGCAUAGGGAUCCAUACAAAUCGCACUGCAUGUCCACAAAGAGAUAUUCCUUGAGCUAAUAUUGCCUCUUGCAAUAAUCAGUCUCUUCUUCUCCUCUUUCCAGAUAAACAUUUGGUAAGUAUUUCUAAGAAAAAAAGUUCCUUACACAAAUAGAUAUAUGUUAAAUGUCACCUAAUUAAACUUUGUAAUUUGUAACUUGCCGCUGGUUCUAAAGUGUGGUAUGAAUUUGGUGUGGAAUGAAGUUGAGGUAGUGGUCCUUCCCGACCGACUCCUCAGCUGAAUUUGGGAGAAACACCAGGUCCCCAACUGAACUAAUCCUGGAUAACCUUUAAGGGAAAAGUGAUAGAGAAUUCUGCCCUAAAGAUUAAUUGAGGUCAUAAUCUCUCAUUCUGUUAGGGAUUCCUCUUCUGAAGAAGAGGAAGGGGAGCAGGAAAGUGUUCAUGAAUCUGAGGGUGAGUUGGAAUCUGAGGAGACUUUGCAAGUACCCACAUUUCAGGAGAGGCGAAAGGAAACAGAAUAGAGACGUUGUUCAGCUAGAAUAGCUGCCAGAAAUGCAGCUGAGUAAUUGGGAACUACCCUAGCAGCUGUGCGGGAACUCAGGGCUAUAAAGCAGAAGCAGGUGCAGCCAGCUCUUGCUGGUAACAAACUGACUCUAAUGCCUUUGCUCUCCUUGUGCCUGCUCCGAGUCUGCAUCUGGAUUUAUUGCUGUUUCUUUGUCUGAAGUAAGACUGCUAUUGGAUUUGGGAGUUUA